rnacentral:tRNA from 1 species
GUCAGGAUGGCUGGGUGGUCUAAGGCAGCAAACUCAAGCCUCUAUCUUCUCCUCAACUGGGUAUUCUGGUCUCUGUAUGAAGCCAUGGGUUCAAAUCCCACUCCUGACA